rnacentral:rRNA from 1 species
UACGUAGGUGGCAAGCGUUAUCCGGAUUUAUUGGGCGUAAAGGGAACGCAGGCGGUCUUUUAAGUCUGAUGUGAAAGCCUUCGGCUUAACCGGAGUAGUGCAUUGGAAACUGGGAGACUUGAGUGCAGAAGAGGAGAGUGGAACUCCAUGUGUAGCGGUGAAAUGCGUAGGUAUAUGGAAGAACACCAGUGGCGAAAGCGGCUCUCUGGUCUGUAACUGACGCUGAGGUUCGAAAGCGUGGGUUGCAAACAGG